UACGGAGGGUGCAAGCGUUAAUCGGAAUUACUGGGCGUAAAGCGCACGCAGGUGGCUGAGUCAGUCGAUUGUGAAAGCCCUGGGCUUAACCUGGGAAUUGCAGUCGAUACUACUCAGCUAGAGUAUGGGAGAGGGUAGUGGAAUUCCCGGUGUAUCGGUGAAAUGCGUAGAUAUCGGGAGGAACAUCAGUGGCGAAGGCGGCUACCUGGCCCAAUACUGACACUCAGGUGCGACAGCGUGGGGAGCAAACAGG
rnacentral:rRNA from 1 species